CGCUCUUUGCAAAAUAAUUAAAGUAUAAAGAGUUCUGCCUGCCCAGUGACGUUGUUAAACGGCCGCGGUAUUUUGACCGUGCAAAGGUAGCAUAAUCAUUUGCCUUUUAAAUGGGGGCUGGUAUGAAUGGCAAGACGGAGGUUAAGCUGUCUUUUUCUUCUAUCUUGAAAUUAAUAUUUUUGUGAAGAAGCAAAAAUUUAUUCGUAGGACGAGAAGACCCUAUCGAGCUUUAGCAAAAAGACACUAAUAGUAUUUUUAUUUUAGAAGUCUAAUUAAAUUAAGUGUUGGUUUAUAAAAACUUAAUUUUUAUAAAAAAAAUUAUAUAGUGCCACUGUUUUGGUUGGGGCAACCAUGGAGAAAAUAAAUCCUCCAUUAAGUAAAAGAAAAGAUACAACUUUGUUAGUGAUUAAAAUGAUCCGAUUAGAUAUCGAGCAAAGGAAUAAGUUACCGUAGGGAUAACAGCGUAAUUUUUUUGGAGAGUUCAUAUUGAUAAAAAAGUUUGCGACCUCGAUGUUGGAUCGGGAUUUCCUGGGGAUGCAGCAGUUUCCAAGGGUUGGUCUGUUCGACCAUUAAAAUCCU
rnacentral:rRNA from 1 species